UGCCAGGUCUAUAGUGCUCGGACGGAGCGU
rnacentral:sRNA from 1 species